rnacentral:ncRNA from 1 species
UCACCCGCCAAUAGGGAACGUGAGCUGGGUUUAGACCGUCGUGAGACAGGUUAGUUUUACCCUACUGAUAACAGGUCGUUGCCGUAGUAAUCCUGCUUAGUACGAGAGGAACCGCAGGUUCGGGCAUUUGGUACACGCACUCGGUCGACAGGCCGGUGGUGCGAUGCCACCGUCCGCGGGAUUAUGCCUGAACGCCUCUAAGGCCGAAUCCCGACUAUGGUUCAACGAUUUAACAAUGGGUCCCGUGAGUCGAAAGGCUCAAAACAAUGUGACUUUAAUAGGCGGCCGGUUUAAACGGCUGUCGCCUGAGCCUUGUGGCUAAAAAUUCCAUUGUGUAAUUAAAUAUAUAGUAAAUUCUAGAUAUUUAAUUGGUUUUUUUAGCGUAACAUGGUUGAACCCUUCGGGGAGUUCGAUGUCGGGACCCAGAAUCGUCUGUAGACGACUUUUGUACCGGGCGGGGUGUUGUACUCGGGAGAGCAGUUAACUCGGUGCGAUCUGUUGAGACUCAGCCCUAGCUGGGGAGAUUCGU